rnacentral:rRNA from 1 species
AUUGAACGCUGGCGGCAUGCCUUACACAUGCAAGUCGAACGGCAGCGGACCUUCGGGUGCCGGCGAGUGGCGAACGGGUGAGUAAUAUAUCGGAACGUACCUUUCAGUGGGGGAUAACGUAGCGAAAGUUACGCUAAUACCGCAUACUCUGUGAGCAGGAAAGCAGGGGAUCGCAAGACCUUGCGCUGAUUGAGCGGCCGAUAUCAGAUUAGCUAGUUGGUGAGGUAAAGGCUCACCAAGGCGACGAUCUGUAGCGGGUCUGAGAGGAUGAUCCGCCACACUGGAACUGAGACACGGUCCAGACUCCUACGGGAGGCAGCAGUGGGGAAUUUUGGACAAUGGGCGCAAGCCUGAUCCAGCCAUGCCGCGUGAGUGAAGAAGGCCUUCGGUU